CACGUAGGCACCAAGCGUUGUCCGGAUUUAUUGGGCGUAAAGAGCUCGUAGGCGGUUCGGUUAGUCGGGUGUGAAAACUUUGGGCUCAACCCAAAGCGUGCACUCGAUACUGCCGUGACUAGAGUUCGGUAGGGGAGUGGGGAAUUCCUAGUGUAGCGGUGAAAUGCGCAGAUAUCAGGAAGAACACCCGUGGCGAAGGCGGCUCUCUGGGACGGUACUGACGCUGAGACGCGAAAGCGUGGGGAGCGAACAGG
rnacentral:rRNA from 1 species